rnacentral:rRNA from 1 species
GUGAGUAACACGUAAGCAACCUACCCUAAAGACGAGGAUAACCAUUGGAAACAGUGGCUAAGACUGGAUAGGAAGAUAAAAGGCAUCUUUUAUCUUUUAAAAGACCUAGUAAUAGGUAUGCUUUAGGAGGGGCUUGCGCCAUAUUAGUUAGUUGGUAGGGUAAUGGCCUACCAAGACGAUGAUGUGUAGCUGGACUGAGAGGUUGAACAGCCACAUUGGGACUGAGACACGGCCCAAACUCCUACGGGAGGCAGCAGUAGGGAAUUUUCGGCAAUGGAGGAAACUCUGACCGAGCAACGCCGCGUGAAUGACGAAGUACUUCGGUAUGUAAAGUUCUUUUAUCAAGGAAGAAAAGCAAAUGGCGAACCAUUUGUUUGCCGGUACUUGAUGAAUAAGCCCCGGCUAAUUAUGUGCCAGCAGCCGCGGUAAGACAUAAGGGGCAAGUGUUAUCCGGAAUUAUUGGGCGUAAAGGGUGCGUAGGCGGUCUAGUAAGUCAGUGGUGUAAUGGCAACGCUUAACGUUGUCCGGCUAUUGAAACUGCUAAACUUGAGUUAGAUAGAGGCGAGUGGAAUUCCAUGUGUAGCGGUAAAAUGCGUAAAUAUAUGGAGGAACACCAGAGGCGUAGGCGGCUCGCUGGGUCUUAACUGACGCUGAGGCACGAAAGCGUGGGGAGCAAACAGGAUUAGAUACCCUGGUAGUCCACGCCGUAAACGAUGAGUACUAAGUGUCGGGUUAAACCGGUACUGAAGUUAACACAUUAAGUACUCCGCCUGAGUAGUACGUACGCAAGUAUGAAACUUAAAGGAAUUGACGGGACUCCGCACAAGCGGUGGAUCAUGUUGUUUAAUUCGAAGAUACCCGAAAAACCUUACCAGGUCUUGACAUGUUUUUGCAAAAUGAUAGUAAUAUCGUGGAGGUUACCAGAAACACAGGUGGUGCAUGGUUGUCGUCAGCUCGUGUCGUGAGAUGUUAGGUUAAGUCCUAAAACGAGCGAAACCCUUAUCGUUAGUUGCCAGCACGUUAUGGUGGGGACUUUAACGAGACUGCCAAUGAUAAAUUGGAGGAAGGUGAGGAUCACGUCAAAUCAGCAUGCCCCUUAUGACCUGGGCUACAAACGUGAUACAAUGGCUGUUACAAAGGGUAGCUGAAACGCAAGUUCUUGGCCAAUCCCCAAAAACAGUCCCAGUCCGGAUUGAAGUCUGCAACUCGACUUCAUGAAGUUGGAAUCGCUAGUAAUCGCGAAUCAGCAUGUCGCGGUGAAUACGUUCUCGGGGUUUGUACACACCGCCCGUCAAACCACGAAAGUUGGCAAUACCCCAAAACGGUAGCCUAACUCGUUUUA